rnacentral:rRNA from 1 species
UAACCUACCCCGGGGAUGGGGAUAGCCUUCCUAACGGAGGGGUAAUACCCGGCGAUGUAGGCAGGCCGCAUGGUCGGCUUAUGAGAUGAAUUUCGCCUCGGGAGGGGCUCACGUGGUAUUAGCUUGUUGGUGGGGUAACGGCCUACCAAGGCAAAGAUGCCUAGCUGGUGUGAGAGCAUGACCAGCGCCACUGGCACUGAGACACUGGCCAGACUCCUACGGGAGGCUGCAGUCGAGAAUCUUCCGCAAUGGGCGCAAGCCUGACGGAGCGACGCCGCGUGUGUGAUGAAGGCCUUCGGGUUGUAAAGCACUGUCGAGGGGGAGAAAGGCGUAAGCUUGAUCGAUCCCUGGAGGAAGCACGGGCUAAGUUCGUGCCAGCAGCCGCGGUAAGACGAACCGUGCGAACGUUGUUCGGAAUCACUGGGCUUAAAGGGCGCGUAGGCGGGCUGUCAAGUCUGGGGUGAAAGCUUCCGGCUCAACCGGAAAAGUGCCUCGGAUUCUGGCGGUCUAUAGCGAAAUUAGGGCAUGUGGAAC